AAGUUUAUCACCCCACAAGAUAAAUUUCAAUUAAGUAAUUUUUUUGUUGAAAUGGCAGGUAAUAUAAGGAUUUUAUCAGCUACAAAAAUAUUUAGUUAUUUACCAAAAGCGCUGUUUUCAAGUAAAAAAACCUCCCCAGAGAUUCCAAGAAAUAUUCUCGAAAAUGUUAUAUCAGCACAUCAACAAGAGGGUCAUGGGAUAGUCUAUGAUAAGAAGCCAUUUAGAAUGACUUUAGAAGCAGGAUUGUGCUGAUGUUGAUUUUGAGUAACCUUUAGGGAAUACAUUUAAUCUGUUUGUAAUGUGCUACUGUGUAUAGAGUAUAUAGUUUUUGAAUAUUCAGCGUUAAUUAAACUGAAAAACUUAUAUGUGGCAAGUUAAAACUUGAUCUGAUAUAGUGCUCGAUAUAGUUGAUCAUUACAUUCUUUUGAAGAAGUUGGAUAUUGAAAGAGAAAAAAUAUUUAUGACGAUUUCAAAAUUAGUUAGCAGUAUACUCGUAUAUAGGAAAAAUGUGUUCAAUAAAAACCAUCAAAAAGGGAAUACCACAAUUUUCUAUUACAUAUCCAACCCAGUUUUUUCAUCAUUUACUUUUCUGAAAAUAAUGAUAUUCAAAAUUUAAUGGAACUAGACUUAAAUUGAUAUCUUUCUAGCUUGUAUCUUAUAUGCUACAUAUGUAACUAUAACUGAAAUAAAUUUUAGUUGAAAAACCA